rnacentral:rRNA from 1 species
CCGCCAGACUCCUACGGGAGGCAGCAGUGGGGGAUAUUGCACAAUGGGGGGAACCCUGAUGCAGCGACGCCGCGUGGGUGAAGAAGCGCCUCGGCGCGUAAAGCCCUGUCAGCAGGGAAGAAAAUGACGGUACCUGAAGAAGAAGCCCCGGCUAACUACGUGCCAGCAGCCGCGGUAAUACGUAGGGGGCAAGCGUUAUCCGGAUUUACUGGGUGUAAAGGGGGCGCAGACGGCGAUGCAAGCCAGGAGUGAAAGCCCGGGGCCCAACCCCGGGACUGCUCUUGGAACUGCGUGGCUGGAGUGCAGGAGGGGCAGGCGGAAUUCCUGGUGUAGCGGUGAAAUGCAUAGAUAUUACACAGAACACCGAUUGCGAAGGCAGCUUGCUAGGCCGGAUCUGACGCUGAUGCACGAAAGCGUGGGGAUCGAACAGGAUUAGAUACCCCCGUA